AUGAGAGUUUUUCUUAUACAGCAUUUAUAUACAGCGUCUAUACAUACAAACAUUCACACUAACAUGGGCACUGAAGGCAUGACAGUCCGCCUGCAAGCCUCCAAUUCUCUUCAGACUUAUAAAAAGAAGAAAAGAAAGGCAAAAGAAGAAAAGCAUGCGUAUAGAUCUUUGGGCAUGGCUUCUGUUUCGGAACGUAUAUAUUGUUUAUUCUACAUCUUUAAGAGCUAUUUUCAUCUUGGUUGUAAUGAGCUGAUGUUACAUGACAGAUGGGGGAAUGGAAUGUGRAGAAGAAGAAAUAAAUGCUUUACGGAAAAUCUGAAAUCUUUAAACUGUCGGAACAUUUCGUAAAAACAACWAAACCUGACAUCUACAGUGAAGCAAGCAGGAGACAUGGCAAUCGACUACAAUGUGAAAGAAAGAAAAUCGGAAAUCUUUCAAAUAGUACGACAUAUUGUGAAGGUACACUMUGAACGCUAGCUACUACACAGGUAAUAUACUCUAGUACAUUCUAGUAUCCUAGCUGGUGUUAAUGAUAUUAAGACAGGACUUAACCCUUUGGCUGCCCGCUCCGCAGGUCAGCUUACCUUCUGUAAUUGUCACAGACUUAUGCACGUAAAGGCUUGUUGCACACAACAUGUCUACACCGGUCAAAUUCAGAUUUUUCAGCCAAUCUCAACCAGUUGACAUGUGUGAGGUAUUAAAGGGUUAAUCGUGUACACAUUUUCAAAGUGGUCAUAGAUAUUUUUUGUUGUUGUUAAUGAAAAUAUUUUGUUGUCUUUCAUAAUGUUUCUUUCACACACAAAAUAACAUUUCAGUCAUGCAAACUGAGGGCACACACUUCGAAACCAUUGCACAGACUUCUGUUAAAGGGCAAUUCCGCCACUUUUCAACCUCAUAUUCAUUAUCUCCAGCACCAUAUCAGUGUCUACAUGUGUGAAAACGACACGUUUAGUCUAUGAUCUGUGGGUAAAAAGAUAAGGAGAGAGGUCCUAAAAAGAUGCUUCUCUGUGACAUCACAGGGUAGGAGUAAACGUUUUUUAAAAACAGUGAUUUUCCAAACCUGCAACGAGUUUCUAGCCAGAGGGAUGGUAUUUUCUUGAUGAUGUCAUUGGGUAUAUCUUUUUAACUUCACAUUUGUUUUCUACWAAACAUAGAAAUGGGACMUUUUCACAUAUGUAGACAAUGGUAUUGUAAUGGAGAUAAUGAAAAUGAGGUUGAAAAGUGGGUGACAUCCCCUUUAAGUUGAGCUUUUUGACAGAUAACUACCAUGAGGUAGUGUUACAGUAUUUCAUGAGUUGACGGUUUAUUGUGUAUGGAAGACCUGUUACAGGAUAAUGCCAGUGAUUACUGUUGUAGAAUAUGAAAUGUACAAAUGACACAUGGACUAUUAUAAAUCAACUGUUUGGACACAGAGCUGGUUUGAGUUAUUACUAAGCCAUCUAUGGAAGGUUUGGUACUGAGUUUUGAAACACUGUUCUGUCUUUGCUCAUGAAAACAUUAAGUACUGUAACUGUUAAAACUGUAUUGGAUGUUCGUUAUGGUUUUAAAAUGGGGAUAAAGUUGCCGAUCAGUGUUGUGGGGUAGAUGGGGGGCUGCGGUUCACACACACACACACACACACACACACACACACACACACACACACACACACACACACACACACACACACACACUCUCUCUCUCUCUGGGGGUGGACUACUUUUUCUCUACUUCUUCCUGUAGUUGCCCAGCUGGAUGGCGGAGCGGUCGAACACACAGCGGAAGGUGAUGGGCUGCACCUCCCAGUAAGGGACGGGGUUGGAGAACAGGCUGAUGCCAGAGUACAUGGCCUUCUUGGUAUUGUAGCCCGGUGGGCAGAAGUCCUGGGUGCCCACCACCCCUAUCUUGUUGCUGUGGAGGUAGAUCACCUGGGAACAUAUCAACCACAAUGAGUGGUUAGAGGGAGGGAUGUCUGGAAAUGAACAUUGCAUAUAUAAAAAGGUAAUGUAUGAAGCUAACAAAAUUCCUUUUGUUGAAUGGCAGAAAAUCAUUUKUGUGUUAAUCAACUUAUUAAUAUUUAUUUCAUCAUCAUCAUCAUGAGAUUGAUCUGUAAUGGUUACACCCUCCUGAGAAAACCCUGUGUMAGGUGGAACAUUCAUGGACAUGAAGCCUCUAUCCAUUCUCCCAGGUGUGGCGGGACACCUGUGUGUCCGGUGGAACCCACCUGGAUYUACUUGUGGUCAGGCAGGCCUGCAGGCACGGUGGUCAGGGCAUUGUUGUCCAGGUGAAGCUCUCUGAGGUGAGGAACCAUGGCCAGAGAACCGUUCUCCACCUGGCUGAUCUCAUUGUAGCUUAGACCCAGCCUAGGAGACAAACCAGCCAAUGGGGAGAGACACAGAAUGWGUCAGAGCCAAUGGGAAAGAGACARYYUGUGUAAAKGAGCCAAUGAGACAGAGGUACAGAAGAAGAGAGAUAAAAGAGGGCAUGAAGCCCUGAGCUGUCCCUACAAGUCCCAAUGUACAGAAUGUAUAAAAACAAAUGAGAGAAAGAAAACAUCCAAUGGGAAAGACACAAACUGGUUUUCUGCCAAUGAAAACCAUGGGCAGAAUGUAGACUAGCAAAUGAGAAAGAGGCUUUACUUUUGCCAAGGGACCAACUUCGUAGACAAAAUGAAAUACUCACUCGCGAAUGUGUUGCCAAUCCGGAUAAUAGAAAAUAAUAUUUUCAGUGAAUCCUGUAGCUCUUCCAAAAUAAACUGCCUUGUACUGCAUGAAAGGAUAUUUCUGUUGUUUAGUCUACCUACUUUGGCAUGAGUCUUUUCCUGUCCUCGAAGCGGUGAUCAUAUAAACCAAGCUGUUGAUUUUCAGAAACAUUGCUUUCAUAUCAAUUUUGUCAAAACUCUCAAACACAUAAUGCCUUGAUAAAUCAACGCCCCCAAUGUCUCAAUGAGAGACAGAGAGUGAGAGACAGAGAGAGAGUGACAGAGUGAGAGCUCUGACAGGCACAGCCACAAGGAGUGAGAGAGAACCAGAGGUUGGGUUCUCUGAGUGUGUCUGUCUGGUUGGUUUAGAUCUGAUACUGAUGUAUAGCUCUUUCUCAAGCCCUGGCGACUUUCCACAAAUACAGCAGUGGACUCCAAUUGCAGAACGCACUCAGCGUUGAGCAGAGUGGACAACUGAGUGAUGACGAAGGAAGAGAGAGAGAGAGAGAGAGAGAGAGAGGGACACAGAGAGAGAUAGAGAGAGGGAAAGAGAGAGAGAGAGCGAGAGUGCGUGCGAGAGAGAGAGAGACAGAGAGAGAGACACAGAGAGAGGGACACAGAGAGAGAUAGAGAGAGAGGGUGAGAGAGAGACAGAGAGACACAGAGAGUCACACAGAGAGACACAGAGAGAGAGAGAGACACAGAGAGACACACAGAGAGACACACAGAGAGAGAGAGAGAGAGACAGAGAGUGGGAGAGUGAGAGACAGAGACACACAGAGAGACACAGAGAGAGACACAGAGAGACACACAGAGAGAGAGAGACAAUACUAGCAGCAGAGUACAGGGCGGACAGGGAGUUUUGGACAUGCUGCUCCAGUCUAACCUCCCCAGUGAAUGAGACGAUGUGGUACAAAAAACACUAGUGGCAUUAAUGCCAAGAAGCACCGCAUCAAUUCAAAUACUCCUUAUAUAACUGAAUUGGUGACUAACCCAGGAUUGUUGCUGAGGUUUGAAAUACAUACUAGGGUGUGUGUGUGUGUGUGUGUGUGUGUGUGUGUGUGUGCGGGGCACUGUUGUCUAGAGAUGACCCAAUAUCCCACUACAGGACUACUUAUGAAGUGUUGACCCACCACAAAUCCAGUGAAGAAGAAUCGUAAGCAUGCUUUGUCCUGUCAAGACACUUAUCAACCGUUUUUGAUUUUUUUUUUUUGAAACAUUGAGUAGACGUGUUGAAACAUCUUUACUUAGCCAGGUUCUUGAGGCCUUCAGGUUGUCCGCCUGCACCUUGGUGACUUGUUGCUGUCCAGGUGGAGCUCGGAGAGGGAGGAGGGCAGACCUGGCAACCCACAGGAGAGAGACAGUGACGAGAGGACAAACAACGGGGAAACCGCAGCAGUUAUUGUGAGGGGAAGGUAAGUCUACGUACAGUAAUGUGCCAGUAGGACUCUGAAUCCAUACUAAGUCUAAUGCAUCUGAAAUGGCACCCUAAUCCGAGAUGCCUACUUUUGACUAGGUAAUAGUGCACUAUAGGGAAUAGGAUGCAAACUCAGACGCAGCCUCUAACAUCCAGAGGCCUAUCCUUCAUCCCUUCUAUUCUUAUUAAAGCAUUAGAUUAGAGGAUCUUUCUCUGAGUACUAUUCGAUCUGAACUGGUUGCCAGAUUCCCACAAUAGAAGGAAUGUUUUAGUUUUCCUCUCUUAGUUCCACACUGUAACCAUUGUUCAGUGGAGCCUAUGAAUCCACAUGUGCAUUCUUGCAGUGCAAGAUGAUUGAUGAUUUUGGCUGUGGUCGAUUGAGUAAGAGAUCCUCGCUGUUAACUUGAAUUCCUUUGUUUUAGCUGGAGCUAUUGAGCUGUGAAGUAUUCAAACCAGUCCUGGUUGAAAAUAGAGAUUCAGGCCCUGCACUGUAAAAAAUAAUAAUAUGUUUAUUCAACGUACAAUUGAAAGGCAUUAAGUUGCAAUUGUGAGUUUGCUCAACAAAAUGUUCACACACCAACUAUUGUUGUGAGUUUGCUCAACAAAAUGUUCACACACCAACUAUUGUUGUGAGUUUGCU
ensembl:lncRNA